rnacentral:rRNA from 1 species
UGAGUAAUGUCUGGGAAACUGCCUGAUGGAGGGGGAUAACUACUGGAAACGGUAGCUAAUACCGCAUAACGUCGCAAGACCAAAGAGGGGGACCUUCGGGCCUCUUGCCAUCAAAUGUGCCCAAAUGGAAUUACCUACUAGGUGGGGUAAGGGCUCACCUAGGCGACGAUCCCUACUGGUCUGAAAGGAUGACCACCCCCCCUGGAACUGAAACACGGGUCAAAACUCCCUACGGGAAGGCACCAUUGGGGGAAAUAUUUGCACAAUGGGGCGCAAGCCCUGAAUGCCACCCUUGCCCGCGUGUGGUAAAAAAGGCCCUUCCGGGUUGUAAAGCACUUUUUCCGCGAGGAGGAAGGUGGUGAGCUUAAUACGCUCAUCAAUUGACGUUACUCGCAAAAGAAGCACCGGCUAAACUCCGUGCCAGCAGCCGCGGUAAUACCGGAAAUACCGGAGGGUUGCAAGCCGUUUAAUCCGAAAUUUCUGGGGCCGUAAAACCCCCCC